UUGGACCUUGAAGCAGUUGGGGAGGACUACCACAGCUUUCAAGAGCAUAUAAACGCCAUAAACAAUUAGUUGUGCCGUCGUCAGCCAGAUAUUAGUCAUAUAAUGGACAGGAUGAGGCAAACUGUCUAUAAGAGGGUAGAUCGGACAGAGUGUGAUAUAGGGACAGAGUGUUGUAAUAUGUG